AAGUCAGUGAAAAAUAGAUGAACAGUAAGUUGAAUAUUAAAAAUGACAGAGUAUUUAUCCAGAAGUGUCUUAUCAAUGCUGUUCAUUUAUCUUUUUUUUUUAUAGAUAAGUUGUUGGUAAUCAUUUGUAACAGUUAGAUACGUAGGUCCCGCUUAUUCCGAUACUAUGUGAUCGUGGGAUGGACAAUUAAUAUCUAUUGAUGAUCAUGGAAUGUGGCUGUUAUGC
rnacentral:lncRNA from 1 species